rnacentral:rRNA from 1 species
UUUGAUUUUAGCGGAACGCUCUGGAAAGUGCGGCCAUAGUGGGUGAUAGCCCUGUACGCGAAAGGAUCUUAGAAGUGAAAUCGAGUAGGACGGAGCACGAGAAACUUUGUCUGAAUAUGGGGGGACCAUCCUCCAAGGCUAAAUACUACUGACUGACCGAUAGUGAACUAGUACCGUGAGGGAAAGGCGAAAAGAACCCCGGAGAGGGGAGUGAAAUAGAUCCUGAAACCGUAUGCGUACAAGCAGUGGGAGCCCACUUUGUUGGGUGACUGCGUACCUUUUGUAUAAUGGGUCAGCGACUUAUUUUCAGUGGCGAGCUUAACCGAAUAGGGGAGGCGUAGCGAAAGCGAGUCUUAAUAGGGCGUCUAGUCGCUGGGAAUAGACCCGAAACCGGGCGAUCUAUCCAUGGGCAGGUUGAAGGUUAGGUAACACUGACUGGAGGACCGAACCGACUACCGUUGAAAAGUUAGCGGAUGACCUGUGGAUCGGAGUGAAAGGCUAAUCAAGCUCGGAGAUAGCUGGUUCUCCUCGAAAGCUAUUUAGGUAGCGCCUCAUGUAUCACUGUAGGGGGUAGAGCACUGUUUCGGCUAGGGGGUCAUCCCGACUUACCAAACCGAUGCAAACUCCGAAUACCUACAAGUGCCGAGCAUGGGAGACACACGGCGGGUGCUAACGUCCGUCGUGAAAAGGGAAACAACCCAGACCGUCAGCUAAGGUCCCAAAGUUAUGGUUAAGUGGGAAACGAUGUGGGAAGGCUUAGACAGCUAGGAGGUUGGCUUAGAAGCAGCCACCCUUUAAAGAAAGCGUAAUAGCUCACUAGUCGAGUCGGCCUGCGCGGAAGAUGUAACGGGGCUCAAACCAUACACCGAAGCUACGGGUAUCACGCAAGUGAUGCGGUAGAGGAGCGUUCUGUAAGCCUGUGAAGGUGAGUUGAGAAGCUUGCUGGAGGUAUCAGAAGUGCGAAUGCUGACAUGAGUAACGACAAUGGGUGUGAAAAACACCCACGCCGAAAGACCAAGGUUUCCUGCGCAACGUUAAUCGACGCAGGGUUAGUCGGUCCCUAAGGCGAGGCUGAAAAGCGUAGUCGAUGGAAAACAGGUUAAUAUUCCUGUACUUCUGGUUAUUGCGAUGGAGGGACGGAGAAGGCUAGGCCAGCUUGGCGUUGGUUGUCCAAGUUUAAGGUGGUAGGCUGAGAUCUUAGGUAAAUCCGGGAUCUUAAGGCCGAGAGCUGAUGACGAGUUACCCUUUGGGUGACGAAGUGGUUGAUGCCAUGCUUCCAAGAAAAGCUUCUAAGCUUCAGGUAACCAGGAACCGUACCCCAAACCGACACAGGUGGUUGGGUAGAGAAUACCAAGGCGCUUGAGAGAACUCGGGUGAAGGAACUAGGCAAAAUGGCACCGUAACUUCGGGAGAAGGUGCGCCGGUGAGGGUGAAGCACUUGCUGCGUAAGCCCACGCCGGUCGAAGAUACCAGGCCGCUGCGACUGUUUAUUAAAAACACAGCACUCUGCAAACACGAAAGUGGACGUAUAGGGUGUGACGCCUGCCCGGUGCCGGAAGGUUAAUUGAUGGGGUUAGCUAACGCGAAGCUCUUGAUCGAAGCCCCGGUAAACGGCGGCCGUAACUAUAACGGUCCUAAGGUAGCGAAAUUCCUUGUCGGGUAAGUUCCGACCUGCACGAAUGGCGUAACGAUGGCGGCGCUGUCUCCACCCGAGACUCAGUGAAAUUGAAAUCGCUGUGAAGAUGCAGUGUAUCCGCGGCUAGACGGAAAGACCCCGUGAACCUUUACUAUAGCUUUGCACUGGACUUUGAAUUUGCUUGUGUAGGAUAGGUGGGAGGCUUUGAAGCGUGGACGCCAGUUCGCGUGGAGCCAU